UGCAGUCGAACGCAUCACUUCGGUGGUGAGUGGCAGACGGGUGAGUAACACGUGGGAACGUACCCUUCGAUCUGGGAUAACUUCGGGAAACUGGAGCUAAUACCGGAUACGCCCUUUUGGGGAAAGGUUUACUGUCGAAGGAUCGGCCCGCGUCUGAUUAGCUAGUUGGUGGGGUAACGGCCUACCAAGGCGACGAUCAGUAGCUGGUCUGAGAGGAUGAUCAGCCACACUGGGACUGAGACACGGCCCAGACUCCUACGGGAGGCAGCAGUGGGGAAUAUUGGACAAUGGGCGCAAGCCUGAUCCAGCCAUGCCGCGUGAGUGAUGAAGGCCUUAGGGUUGUAAAGCUCUUUUGUCCGGGACGAUAAUGACGGUACCGGAAGAAUAAGCCCCGGCUAACUUCGUGCCAGCA
rnacentral:rRNA from 1 species